UAUAAAUUCUGUAUAAUUAUUAUAUGAUGAAAUUUUAAAUUUUUGGCGGUUAAUUAUUAAUUUAGGGGAGCUUGUUACUAGAAAUUACUCUUUAUAUUUCAUUAAUUUAUGUUUAUUUAUCUCCGUUAUAAGGUGAAAAACUGUAUGAAUUUUUGUUUUUACUUCAGGUCAAGAUGUAGCAAUAAUUGAGAAAAAUUAGCUACAUUAAUUAAAAUUAUGGAAUUAGGGUUGGAAAGGAUUAAUGAAAUUGAACUUAAUUGUAAUUUAGUUUAAAACGAUUGAAUGAAAUUAUUUAAUUA
rnacentral:rRNA from 1 species